AGUCUCAUAGGUUAAGCCAUGCAUGUGUAAGCGAAGCAUUUUUGUGGAGCGGCGUGAGGCUCAGUAACGGGCGUCUAUUUGAUCUCCUGAUGUGGACAACCUCUGUAACCGGAGGCCGAUACACAUGAGGCACUGUUUCCGUUUGGUAGGGUGUCAAUAGCUAUUUGUUGUUAUAGCGCGGGAGAGUAAGGAGCCAUCCCAUCAGUUAGUAAGUAGGGUAAGGGCCUACUUAGACGAAGACGGGUACGGGGAAUUAGGGUUCUAUUCCGGAGAGGGAGCCUGAGAGAUGGCUACCAGGUCCAAGGACAGCAGCAGGCGCGAAAAUUACCGAAGCCUCCGGUGAGGGCGGUAGUAAGGAGACGUGAAUACGAUGUGCAGGUAAAUAAUGCACUAGUAACAGGAGGUCAAGACUGGUGCCAGCAUCCGCGGUAAUACCAGCUCCUGGAGUGUCUAUGAUGAUUGCUGCAGUUAAAGUGUUCGUAGUCGGGCUGCAUGACUGGCGUGAAAGACCUUCUUUCAAGGGGGGUACAGCGCGGGGAAAGCAGAGAAUAAGGAGCGUUUUGGGGUCAGGUUAUUAAGCGACGAGAGGUGAAAUUUGAUGACUCGCUUAGGAGCAACAGAGGCGAAAGCGCUGACCAGGGGCGAAUCCGAUGAUAAAGGACGUAGGCUAGAGGAUCGAAGACGAUUAGAGACCGUUGUAAGUUCUAGCAGUAAACGAUGCCGAUGCCGUGGAGCGAGGACAAUUCGCUUCGCGGAAGAGAAAUUUAGUAGGGCCCUGGGGAGAGUACACGCGCAAGCGAGAAAUUUAAAGGAAAUUGACGGAAGAACACCACAAGGAGUGGAGUGUGCGGCUUAAUUCAACUCAACGUGGGACAGCUUACCAGGCCCGACGACCGCACGAGUGUAGUACACGAUAGGUUGAAGAGGUUGGCCGUUUAACGAAGUGGAGUGACCUUUGGGUUAAGUCCGGGAAGUAGUGAGACCCCUGCUGUUAUUUACUUACGGUUGUUGUGACAGGACAGGUGCUUAAAGCACAGGAAGGAAGGGUCAAGAACAGGUCAGUGAUGCCCUUAGAUGGUCUGGGCUGCACGCGCACUACAGUGGUCACAGAAAGGAUAUCAAGAGAGAUAAUGGUGAUCGAGAGGGAAUGAGCUUUGUAAGAGGCUCAGGAACGAGGAAUUGCUAGUAAUCGCGGGCUCAUUAAGACGCGAUGAAUACGUCCCUGUUCUUUGUACACACCGCCCGUCGUUAUCGAAGAUGGAGUCAGGCGCGAAGUACACACCGCCCGUCGUUAUGAAGAUGGA
rnacentral:rRNA from 1 species